rnacentral:rRNA from 1 species
AAAGAUCGAAUGGGGAGAUUCAUCGACGACGAGGCUGGCUUCCGUUGGCGCGUGAUGCUCCGGAUUAGUUCUCCUUCACGGGGGUUCUAGUUGGCGAGGGUACACCGUUUUCGGCAAAUGUUCCGGUCGCGUAGUCGUGCACUUCUCCCCUGGUAGAACGUCGCGACCCGUUGCGUGUCGGUCUACGGCACGAGUUUUCGACUGCCUGCGGCGCCUCGUGCGCUCGCGACAGAGGCUCGUUCGCCCGGCCGGCUGCGCGACGGUACGCUGUGUGAUGGUAUAGGGCCGCAACUAGAUAAUCACAUUCUUGGAUGUGUGUAUUUGCGUCGGGCUCGCCGCAAGCUGCGUUAGUUUACCCGUUGGUACGGACCUGGUGCCGGCUUCGGGCCUAACCGGCUGUUGGUUGGCAGAGUUCUCGGACUGGCCAAAAUGAAAUCUAUAUUCAUAUAGAUACGAUAUACCGGUCAGCGACGCUACUGCUUUGGGUACUCUCAGGACCCGUCUUGAAACACGGACCAAGGAGUCUAACAUGUGCGCGAGUCAUUGGGACUUGUAAAACCUAAAGGCAUAAUGAAAGUAAAAGUCGACGCUUCGCGCGUCGACAGAGGGAGGAUGGGCCGCGUCACGAUGCGGCCUCGCACUCCCGGGGCGUCUCGUUCUCAUUACGAGGAGG